GACAGAGGGUGCAAACGUUGUUCGGAAUUACUGGGCGUAAAGCGCGUGUAGGCUGCUCGGAAAGUCGGAUGUGAAAGCCCUGGGCUCAACCUAGGAAGUGCAUUCGAAACUUCCGAGCUGGAGUGCUGGAGAGGAAGGCGGAAUUCCCGGUGUAGCGGUGAAAUGCGCAGAUAUCGGGAAGAACACCCGUGGCGAAGGCGGCUCUCUGGGACGGUACUGACGCUGAGACGCGAAAGCGUGGGGAGCGAACAGG
rnacentral:rRNA from 1 species